GAUGAAGAACGCAGCGAAAUGCGAUAAGUAAUGUGAAUUGCAGAAUUCAGUGAAUCAUCGAAUCUUUGAACGCACAUUGCGCCCGCCAGUAUUCUGGCGGGCAUGCCUGUUCGAGCGUCAUUACAACCCUCAGGCCCCCGGGCCUGGCGUUGGGGAUCGGCGGAGCCCCCCGUGGGCACACGCCGUCCCCCAAAUACAGUGGCGGUCCCGCCGCAGCUUCCAUCGCGUAGUAGCUAACACCUCGCGACUGGAGAGCGGCGCGGCCACGCCGUAAAACACCCAACUCUUCUGAAGUUGACCUCGAAUCAGGUAGGAAUACCCGCUGCACUUAAGCAUAUCAAUAAGCGGAGGA
rnacentral:misc_RNA from 1 species